CAUACUAGAGUAGUUAAGGCAGUGAACGUUGUGUGUGAUUAUGUAUAUGUUUGUGUGUAUAGAUGUGCAGGUUAGGUUACCACUCUUAGCACAUGCCUUGUAAUCUAAAAGUUUCCAUUUAAAUAAUGUUAGAAAAACAUAUUUUUAAUAAUUUUUACCUGUUUUUGCUAAAAUGAACGUUGACUUGCACCGAAUAAUUGGAAAUCAACAGGUGGAAUGUUGUAGAAAGUAAAAAUGAAGUUGCAUGUUAUUUGCCAGGUGCUCUUUUCUCUCUCCCUUAUUAAAGUUAUUGGCUCCAAGCCAUGUAAGCUAUGUACUCUUGAAAAUCUUUUAUUCUUCCUUAAUAAGCUGUUAACUCCAAACCAUGUAUACUCUACAAGCUUUUUUGUUAUCAACAUAAACACGUUGAUUGUUUGUUGUUCUCACGCUCAGAUACGUCACGUAUACUUCUUUAUACGCGGUUACAUAUGCGAGUCCAAAAAAAUGCAACUGCGCAUCCAAAUCGCGCAUGGAUUGCUUUCUCAUAAAUUUCUGUCGUGAGCCGCGCGCGGGAUUGCUUUCCCAUAAGUUUCUGUCAUCAACGGCGCACGGGAUUGCUUUCUCAUAUAUUUCUUCAACUAUACGGCUAUUUAUGUAGCUCUAAAAAAUUUAUAACAUUUUUUAACAAAUGUUAGACGUUGUAAAAUAAAGGCAGUAUGAUACACGAAUCAAUCUGGAACAGAUUUAAAUAAAAUUUUUAUUUUGAAAAUCAAGUAACCUGCAUGAAGAAUAUUGUUUAAAUAUGGAAAACGAUAAAAAUUCUGAAAAUGUUCUGUACACAUGUGUUUCUUGUGAAAAAACUUUUAAAAGAAAGAGAGAUUUAAUAAUACAUGAAAGAAUACACUCAAAAAAUAAACCACAUAUAUGCACUAUAUGUAAAAAAAGUUUUACUCAAAUGGGAAAUUUAAAUGUGCAUAUCAAGAUCCAUGAUACUGUGAAAGCUUUUAAAUGCUUAAUAUGCGAAAAAAGUUUCAAAACAAAUGGGCAAUUAAAAGUACAUCAAAGUAUACAUAAAGGUUUGAAAAAUUACAGUUGUAAUGAGUGUAAUAAGAAGUUCUCCCAAAAUCAACAUCUACAAACUCAUAGAUUGACACAUACUGAUCUAUGUAACUUUACAUGUCAUAUCUGUAAUAAAACUUUUGUUAGAAAAGAUGUUUUGGAAAAACAUGUAAACUCACAACAUCCUAAAAAUGUUUACACAUGUAAUUAUUGUAAGAGAACAUACGUUAACAAAAAAUAUUUGGAAAAGCACAUUAUGGCUCAUAUGUCUGGAAAAGUUAAAAUUGUAAAAAUUCUUAAAACUCUAAGACCUCCAGUUUUAUCUGUACCCUUAUUAUAAAAUUAUUAAUUAUACUAUAUAUACACAAUAAAAAAAUAUUUGUUCAAAAACA